GACGUAGGGCGCGAGCGUUGUCCGGAUUUAUUGGGCGUAAAGAGCUCGUAGGCGGCUUGUCGCGUCGACUGUGAAAACCCGCGGCUCAACUGCGGGCCUGCAGCCGAUACGGGCAGGCUAGAGUUCGGUAGGGGAGACUGGAAUUCCUGGUGUAGCGGUGGAAUGCGCAGAUAUCAGGAGGAACACCAAUUGCGAAGGCAGCUCGCUGGGACGUUACUGACGCUAAGGCGCGAAAGCGUGGGGAGCGAACAGG
rnacentral:rRNA from 1 species